UAAAACAAGGAGAAAACGCCAGUUGAUUUCUAUUUUAAAGCCAGCAGGAAGCUCUGCUCAUCUCUCAACCAGGCUCAGAGCAACUCCAUUGCAACAAAGCUUCCAUGAUCAUCUUAGCUGGAAGAUGGGGCAGAAAAAUCUCAAUGCCACCAGGACAAGAACAGAUUCACAGGCUGUUUCGAAAUAGGAGUACACAGCUGAGCACAAGCCUUCUAAUGAAGUAAUGGACCUUGACAAAGAUCAUCAGCCCUGAUGCUAUCACAAAGAGACCAACCAGGUAAUAUAA